AAAAAACAUAGCUUGUCUAACACAGUGUGAUGGUUAAUAUUGAGCGCCAAUUUGAUUGGAUUGAAGGAUGCAAAGUAUUGUUCCUGGGUGCAUCUGCAAGGGUGCUGUCAAAGGAGAUGAACAUCUGAGUCAGUGGACUGAGAAAGGAAGGCCUACCCUCAAUCUGGGUGGACACAAUCUAAUCAGCUGCCAGCAUGGCCAGAAUAAAAGCAGGCAGAGGAAUGUGGAAAGAGUAGACUGGCUGGGUCUUCUGGCCUCCAUCUUUCUCCCGUGCCGGAUGCUUCCUGCCUUUGAACAUUGGACUCCAGGUUCUUCAGCUUUGGGACUCUUGGAUCUUAGACCACAGACUGAAGGCUGCACUGUUGGCUUCCCUACUUUUGAGGUUUUGGGACUCGUACUGGGUAUCUUGCUACUUAGCUUUGCAGACGGCUUAUUAUGGGACCUCACCUUGUGAUCGUGUGAGUCAAUACUCCUUAAUAAACUGUCUUUCAUACAUACAUCUAUCCUAUUAGUUCUGUCCCUCUAGGGAACCCUGACUAAUACACACAAGCAAUAUCACCAAGCUGACAAAAAUCAGACAAUAGAUGGUCAAAGCCAAAGCACACCAGGGCUGCCUAUCCUGGGGAUACAAGUGACAUGUGGUGGUGAGAACAUGAAUCUUAGAGAUUUACAGACGAGCAACUGAGAUGCAGACAGAUUGAGGAAAUCUCUCAAAGUCACACCGUGAGUUAAAUGGUGGAUCUGAAGUUUAAUUGGAGGCUUAUUGCCUCCUGUGUUUAUCAUCUUGCCACUCUGCACUACUGAUUUUUCUAGAAGAACAUGGUCUUAAUUCUCCAGCAGAUGUUUGUCUAAGCACUCACUAUGAGAAGGCAGGGAGCUGAGUCAGUCCAGAAGCUACUGUUGAGGCAAACAUUCAGAUAUCUGACCUCUGGGGCUCCUGGAUGCCACUGUUCAGAGAAGAUGCCCAGAUCAAUACCAUCUUCAAGUCACUGACUCAUAAAACUUAAAGCUGAUCAAGCUCCUUCCUCUCAUUUUAAGCCAUGUAAGAAGUGCCUUUCACCUCCUGCCAUGAUUCUGAGGACUCCUCAGCCAUGUGGAAAUGUAAGUCCAAUUACACCUCUUUUUCUUCCUAGUCUUGGGUAUGUCUUUAUCAGCAGUAUGAAAACGGAUUAAUACAGAGCCCAAGGAUGGUAUAUUGGAAUUAUAUGGAAUGCAGAAAGUACUUGUCAGUAAUAACACAGAGAAGAAAUGGCACUGUCUCUAGGACAUCUGAAUGCAGCAGAUCCUCUCUUACCUGGCCUGAGGGAUGAAGAUUUUCAGCCAACUGCAUAUUUUUAUUGAAGGGAAAGGGCCAAGGAUCACUUCAAAUGCUCCCUGGGUUUGCAUUAAUUGGUGCCAGUUUAAUUAGUAUUGAAAAUGAUGUGGAAAUGGACUUUUUCCUUGCAUGGUAUGUGUGAAGAGUCCAAGUUGGAUCACUGCUUUCCCCUGAAGCAAAAUCUAGCUGUUUCGCUGGGAGCAGCUGUAAUACCAUCAUCUCUUGAGUGGAAUCAAUGUCUACGUGAGAGGAUUUCAUAGUGUUUGUCAUCUGCAGAAUCUCAGCUGUUCCUAAACAAGGCUGAUUAUUAAAUGCCCUGACACUGCAGAAGAAAUGUGCACAUGCUGAGGGUCAGGGGCAUUUGUGCGUUUCUGGGGAUGUUGGUGGGCUCCCAGUCAGCCCUCCAAUUCCAUCUUGGGUUGAAGGGUUGUCUCAUUCUGGCUUCAUUAAUCAGGCUGCCUCAGCCAUAAUGAAUUUUUCUGUUUCUUUAAAGAAAGACACCCUCCCUUCUGUGCUUUGAAAUGGGUGUUUCUUCUAUAUGGAACAUUACUCUUGCCUUUCCUUACCCCCCAUCCCCCACUUUUAUAACCUGUCUGUGCUAAGAACAAGCUUCUUCCAAUCUCAGACUGAACAUCCCUUCCUCAGGAAAGACAUUUCUGGUUUCUUCAUCUCCCAAGACUGGGUUAGAUCCUGUGAUAGCUUCCAUCCCCAUCUCCAGGCUUUUUACUCCUAGGCUGGAAGCUUUCUGUGAGGGGAGGAUCAUAUUUAUCUGUUCAAUAUUAGAUUUCACUUGACUGGCACAGCACCAAGCACACAAUCAGCCUACAGUAAACGCCUGCUGAGCAAAAAACCUUUUUUUUUUUUUUUUUUUUUUUUUUUUGAAACAGAUUCUCACUCUGUUGCCCAGGCUGGAGUGCAGUGGUGCGAUCUCCGCUCAGGGCAACCUCCCCGCUCCAGAUUCAAGCAAUUCUUCUGCCUCAGCAUCCAGAGUAGCUGGGAUUACAGGUGCCCACCACCACACCUGGCUAAUUUCUGUAUUUUUAGUAGAGACGGGGUUUCGCCAUGUUGGCCAGCCUGGUCUUGAACUACUGACUUCAGGUGAUCUGCCUGCCUUGGCCUCCCAAAGUGCUGGGAUUAUAGCCAUGAGCCACUGUGCCCAGCUUGAGCAAACAACUUUUAUCCCAUGUUCUUAUUCACAGUGAUUAACGCAGUGUAGAUUUCACUAAACAUUGAUGGAAUAAAUUGAACAUCUAGAGUGGAGGUCAGCAAGCUAUAUGGUUCAUGGGCCAAAUCCAGCCUGCCACCUGGCUUUGUAAAUAAAGUUUUAUUGGAACACAGUUAUAGCCAUGCUUAUUUGUUUAUGCCUUGUUUAUGAUUGCUCCUGGCUACAACAACAGAGUUGAGUAGUUGCUAUAAAAAUUGUGUGACCCACAAUGUCAAAAAGUACUUACUAUCUGGCCAACCCUGGUCUUCAAGUUCAGGAAGAGACGUAAGUAAACAGCCACUCUAAAUUACCUCCUCUACUUUUGAUUUUUUAAUCCUCUCUUAUAACCACAUCUAGACUUCCCACAUGUCUUCAAACUCCAGAGUUCUAGACAUCACACGCUAACAAAGGCUAAGGUUUAAAAACUAAAAAUGCUUAGGAAAAAAUAGUUGUUCUUAUGAGUUGUUUUAUUUAGAUAUUAAAGGAAAGAUUAGUCCCACAAAGCCAAAAGUCUUUCAAAAAUAUUUCUAGUUUUGAGAUUUCAUUGUCUGCCUAACUUAAUUGCACCACCUUCCAAAGCACAGAUCAAAUUUCCAGCUUCCAGGAGGCCCGCUGUUCUUUCCAUCUCUCAGAAUGUCUUCUUUCUUGGAGCUUAUCCCUAUAAAACUUAAUGUUUGAGUCAUUUAUUCAGGGCUCCCUGGUGACAGCUGUUACAUUGUCUUACGCCAUUAUUUAAUGUAUAUUAAUUUUAUUUUUCCAAUUAGAUACUAAACCCUGGAGGGUGAGGUCAUUAAAUACAAAGCUUGAACUAAAAGUUUUGUAAAGUGUAAUUUGCAUCUUCACAAACCAGUUCAUACACGUGGGUUUAUAUAAGAUUAAAUAUCCACAUUUUACUAAAGUUUUCUUCAACUACUUACAUAGAACCUCCAGCCCCUUUAGGAUGUCCCCACUUUAUUUCUGGGAAUGCCCCAAGGUUGUUUCACCUGUGCCUCAUUAAUCAGGCUAUUAGCUGUGGUCACUAAGGAAGGUGCAAUGUGCUGUUCUUGUCCUGCACUGCUAGCCCGUGUUGUUUAUUCUGCCUGAGCUGGCUGAGGGUAUCAGUGCAAUCACACCAGCAUGCUAUCUUCUGUGUUCUCAAGGUUAGAUUAUUACUUAUAGUCCUUAUGGUGCUAGAGCCACAUUGUGUAACUGUGAAUUCAUGCAGGAGGUGAAUAAAAUCAUGCCAUCUCUUUGCUGCUUUGCCAUCUGGGCCACAGAACAUCCCAGUUUGCCCCACAUCAUCAGAGCUCCAGCAGCUUCUGCUCUCUCCAUGGGCCUGGGCAGGAGUCUCUGGGUUGAGUAACAUAAGACCGCCAUACUGGGGGGAAGUCCAUGUGGUCAUACGGAGGAGAAGCAGUGCCAGUCAGACCCCAAGUGUUCCAGCCACUUCAGCCCACACACCAUGCAUAUGAGUGAAGUAGUUCUCUUGCAUAUGCGGUUUCAGCAGAUGCCACAUGGUGAAGAAUGGAGGCGCCAGAUAUACAGCCCCAGGGAAGCUACAGUGAGCUGUUCCUUGAGCAGGGAUAGAUCUCAUCAUCCAGGCACAGGCUGUCUUUGCAGACGAUAUCUGCUGAGGUAGCCUCCAAUGGUGGGGUCUGCCCAAUGUGUGUGAUUCCCACUACGAUGACAUUCAGUCAAGCCACUUCUGCUUUAGGAAUGAGGGAUCCAGUGGUGUUCAGCAGUUUGCAAGACACUGACAGUGAAGACUUGAAGAAAGAAGUGAGUACACUGUAAUGAAAACUCAAUAGCUAACAAGAGAGAGGAAGCAAAUAAACUGAGCAAAUAUCUGGUUCCCAGCCUUGCUUCUCACUCUGCCCAUUUCUUGGCUCCAACCCAGUUCUCCCUUCUCCUUUAGUGGACAGAUUCAGUCUCUGCUUAUUUUUUUUUUUCCAACUCAAAACAUCCCAAAUAACGCAAGUGACAAAAAGAGAAAGUUGGCUUCCAUUUUCACUAUCAAGUGCCUCCACUUCUAAAUUCCCUCGAGUGACAAAACAUAUCAUAAAAUAUGAAACAUAUCACCUUUCCUUUUGCGGGUGCCAACCACCCUUCAACACAUCAUCAUGAAUCCCGUGCUGAUGUUAAUAGUCCUCUAACUUCCUGAGAACGACUGCAUCAAUCCACGUCUUCUCCAGUUGCCAUGCAGUGAUAUAAGCAGCAAUUCAUCCAAAAGGUGCCUUCGGCAAGCAGGAAGUUAUAGCCCUUGUGAUUUUCUGUGUGGCUCCUUAAAUUGUUAUAAACAGACUUUCUCCAUCUCAGUGAACACUGAGUUUUUAUUUAAACAUUUUGUUUUCUUCCAGAGGUAAUUUUAAGAAAUUUAUUCAAAUUUCUUAGGUUUUAUUAUUUCUUCCUUUUUCUUUCUCUGCCUUUCUUUCUUUCUUGCUCUUCCUUCUUCCUUCAUUUCCCUCCCUCCCUUCUUCCCUCUCUUUCUUUCUUUCUCUUCCUUCCUUCAUUCCUUCCCUUCCUUCCUUCCUUCCUUCCCUUCCUUCCUUCCUUCCCUUCCUUCCUUCCUUCCUUCCUUCCUUCCUUUCUUUCUUUCUUUCUUCCUUUCUUUCUCUUUCUUCUUUUUCAGAGACAAGGUCACCCAGGCUGGAGUGCAGUGGUGUUACCAUCGCUCAGUGCAGCCUCGAACUCCUGGAUUCAAGCAAUCCUCCUGCCUUAGCUUCUCAAGUAGCUAGGACUACAGGUGGGCCCCAUUGUGCCUGGCUAACCAAUUUCUUGGGUUUCUAAGUGGUUUCCACAGGAAUAAACUUGUGAAUCUAAGUACCCUUGGGUGUCUCACAUCCUCCCAGUGUUGGAGAACUGGUGUCAUAUGAUGGUUAAAAUGACAUAUGAUGGUUAAACUGGAGGUGGGCUGCUCCUGUUUGAAUAUGUACUCUAGUGCUUAUGUGUUAUAUGGUCAGGGGUAAGAUAAUUAAGAUUUUGAGCCUUGUUUCCCUUCUAAGAAUGGGGUAACAAUUGUGUAUACUUUGUGAUGUUGAAGGAAUUAAAUUAAUUACUGCAUAAACUUACCAGGUUCUAAGUAAGCCAAUGGUAAAUGUCACCUACUACUGUUAUCAUUUAUAACUCUUUCUAUAAGCCUUCAGCUAGCUUGUUUCUUAACUUUGUGUGAAUUUUAUUUUUUACUUUUUGAGGUUUUUUUUCAUGUAGAAUAUACCUACAGAACGGUGCAUAGGUUAUGAGUAUAGCUUGGUGAAUUUUCACAAACCAAUCACAGUCAUAUAUCCUGGCCCAGAACAAGUAAAAGAGCAUCACCAAUGCCACGAAAGCACCUCACUUAUCUCCUGUUCUAGUCACUACUUCCCAAGGGUAACUGCUAUUCUGACAUCUAACACCAAAGAUUAGUUUUUACCUGUUUUUGAAUUUCAUAUAAAUAUAAUCUUCCAGUAUGUACUCUUUUUUUCGUUUCAUACAAUAUUUACUCUUGUAAGCAAAUCAAAGUGACUUUUUUUUUUUUAACGAAAGAAGGUUAGGUUACUGGAUUUUCAAUUAAAUCAAAUCUUUAGAUUUGUAUAUUAGUGAAAUAAUUCAGUAAAAUAAUCAUAUCCAUAGCUAUCCAAAUCUUUCUGGAUAAUCCAUUCUGUUUUCUAGAUAUUAGCACAAUCUUAGGCUCAUAAACAGAGCUCCACAUCAUUUCAUUCCUUUUUGUCAUGUGAUUUAGGUUUUAUUUUAUUCGUAUUUAACCUUUAAGUUCAGGAGUAUGUGUGCAGGUUGGUUAUAUAGGUAAACUUAUGUAAUGGGAGUUUGUUGUACAGAUUAUUUCAUCACCCAGGUAUUAAGUCUAAUACCCCUAUUACUUAUUUUUCCUGAUCUUCUCCCUCCUCCCACCUUCCUCCCUCCAAUAAGGCCCAGUGUGUGCUGUUCCCCUCCAUGUGUCCAUGUGUUCUCAUCAUUUAGCUCCCACUUAAAAGUGAGAACAUGUGGUAUUUGGUUUUUUGUCCCUGUGUUAGUUUGCUAAGGAUCAUGGCCUCCAGCUCCAUCCAUGUUUCUGCAAAGCACACGAUAUUCUUUUUUAUAGCUGCAUAGUAUUCCACGGUGUAUAUGUACCACAUUUUCUUCAUCCAGUGUUAAAUCAAGUUUAGCCUAAAGCUGCCUCCUUACAUAUUUAAGUUCAGCCUAAAGGUUUUUCUGUACAUCAUGAACUAUAACAAGUGGAGGUGUAAAUCGAUUGUAGCCCAUACCUGUGGCAAUCCUGAGUUUUGGCCAAUCAGAUGUAUCCAACAGUUCGAAUUGUGUUCAAAUAAGGCAAACAGUGAGCUAUAGCCAAUCCAGUUGUUUCUGUACUUCACUUCCAUUUUCUGUACAUUGCUGUCCUUUUGCUGUCUAUAAAUCUUGUUCCUGGCCAGGCACAGUGGCUCACGCCUGUAAUCCCAGCACUUUGGGAGGCCAAGGCAGGUGGAUCACCUAAGGUCAAGAGUUUGAGACCAGCCUGGCUAACAUGGUGAAACCCUGUCUCUACUAAAAAUACAAAAAAUUAGCCAGACGUGGUGGCGCAAACCUGUAAUCCCAGCUACUAGGGAGAAUCGCUUGAACCCGGGAGGCAGAGGUUGCAAUGACCCAAGAUCGCGCCACUGCACUCCAGCCUGGGCAAGAGGGCAACACUCUGUCUGAAAAAAAAAAAAGAAAGAAAGAAAGAAGAAAGAAAGAAAGAACGAACGAACAUGGUAAUUAACAAAAAUUUGUUUUGAGCCCCUACAUGUCCGCUUCCUAGCUAUAUGACAUAGCCAGUCUUUUUACUUCUCUGAGCCUCAUUCCUUGUCUUUUAAAAUGAGGCCAAUAAUAUCCCCAGGGAAUUCAAAGCCCUUGUUUCCAGGAAUGCUGUGUGGGCAUUUGUGAACUCCUACUCCAUCCUGUUUUCAAGUCCAUUUUCUCCCUGUGUGCUAGAACUUACUCAUCUGCUGGAGCUGAGCACCAAUAACAAAUUGUAAUCAUUAGGUCAAGGUAGUAAUUUUUGUGGUUUGAACUUCAGGGCUUAAUGGGUCAUGCUGCUUUCACAACAGGACUUUUCAAUACAAGAUUACAACACAGAGGGGUGGCAUAGGGUUUGUUUUCCUCCUGUUUACUAAAUUAAGAAGUAAAAAAAGAACCUGGUGAUAAUUUUAAACUGUAUACAUAUUUUAGUACACCUAACUCCAUCUCAUUUGUUGGCCAAGUGUGAUUUCCCAACCAUGAAAAAGCAAAAUUCAACUCAUGGGGAAAAGACCAUCAGAAGGACUUAACAAGAUGAACCUCAAGUGGUGGGAUUUGGGAAAAAAUUAAUCUGGUUACAGGAAUUUCCUGUUGGCUCUGCAGUUGACAUUGGUUCCAGCCAUUGCUACGGUUGCAGGAUGAGUUUAGUCAAUGGAAUAAACUGACCCACGUUUAACUUAGAAGUCUCAUUACUUCUUUUCCUUAGUGUCCACAAUAGCAACUAGCUGAUUCACAUAUCUGGUAAACCAGUUUCUCCCAAUAUAUAUACUCAACUCUCCAAAGCAACAACAACAUGUCUUUUUUUUUUUUUUUUUUUUUUUUUUUUGAGAUGAAGUCUUCCUCUGUCACCCAGGCUGUAGUACAAUGGCACAAUCUCAGCUCACCGCAAACCUUCGCCUUCCAGGUUCUAGCAAUUUUCCUGUGUCAGCCUCCCUGAGCAGCUGGGAUUACAGGCACCCACCACCACGCCCGCCUAAUUUUUGUAUUUU
rnacentral:lncRNA from 10 species